AUGACGCAACAAUCCUGUCCGUCCAGCUCAAACAGCGACGCAAGCGACGGGUGUGAGAAGAUGAAGAGCGGCAAGCUCGACGAUCGACUCAAGGUCUUCGCUGCAAUCCCCCGCAAAAAAACAAAUAAAAGAAUUGAGAUAAUUAAGGUGUGGUGCCUUGGCCUGCUGAGCAUCCAACUCACACACUUCCAGAGCUCUCACACACCGCCGCCCCGGCAGAACCGCACGUUGGAGGGAAGGUCGAUCGUCGUGCUCUGCGCUCCGGCCGAUCGAGCAGAGGCAAUAUUCCUAGACCUGCCUGAUGUGUGCUUGGCGAUCCCUGAAAUUCAGCAGCACACUUGUGCUAACGACACUCUUACUGUUAUUCAGAAGGCACACCCAGGGCGCGUUACGGUGUUGGACCUGCAGGAUAUGAGCUUGGCAGGCCAAAUCACUCCCUCUCUUGGAAACCUAACCUCUCUUAGAAAACUUACGCUAGAUUCAAAUCGCUUGUCUGGACAAUUGCCCCCUCUCAACCGUCUUACAAGAUUAGAGGAGCUUUCUCUAGGCACCAACUUGCUGCAGGGGGACAUUCCAGAUGCACUUACAAACUGUAGCAAACUCAAGUCGCUAAACCUCGCUCUUAACAUGCUAGUGGGUUCAAUUCCCGAAAACAUAGGUUUCCUCACCAAUCUAGUAGUUAUGGACCUUUCCGGAAAUAAUUUGUCAGGAAUCAUUCCCCAAACCUUCAGCAACAUAAGUCGUUUAAGAGAAAUGUCACUUGCAGACAACCUGCUCGUGGGAAGCAUUCCUAAAGAGCUUGGGCAAUUGACAGAUAUUUCGAUUGUGUUCCUUGGUGGAAACAGCCUAUCAAGUAGCGUUCCUGCGACACUGUUUAAUCUGUCCUACCUUCAAAUACUAGACUUGGAUACAAAUAUGUUAAGUGGCACACUGCCAUCUGACGUUGGUCAUAUGCUCCCUAACCUCCAAUUUCUUUUCUUGGGUGAAAACAAGCUUGACGGCCACAUCCCAGAUUCAUUAGGCAAUGCUUCAGAGCUGGGCCAGUUUGAUGGUCUUAUGCCAGCCAACCUAGGAAAUUUGUCACAACUCACACAGUUGGAUCUUAGUUACAACAAUAUCCAAGGCAACAUACCUCUACAGAUUUCUAGGCUUAAACAACUCAUGGAACUACACCUUUCAUCGAACAAGCGUACUGGGGAAAUACCUAGUAAUUUGGAUCAAUGUGACAAUUUGAUAACUAUCCAGAUCGACCAGAACAUGCUAAUAGGGGAAAUCCCAACAUCUUUUGGCAAUCUAAUAGCCUUGAACGUGCUUAAUCUUUCUCAGAAUAACUUGUCGGGCACCGUCCCAGCAACUCUAAGUGACUUACAACUCCUCAGCAAUUGGGGACUGUGUGGAGGGGUGGCAGAUCUCCAAAUGCCGUUAUGUUCUGCUAUUUCUCAGAGAUCAGAGACAGAGUACUAUUUGAUCCCCGCAGCUAGGAUUUACAACCUCCCAACCGCGAGGAUGUAUACCCUCAUCUGCUCCUCAGACAGCCCUCCGGGAGGCGGUCGAACAGCCCCCCCGGACGGUGUCACGGACAGCCCUUCGGGAGGACCUUCGAAACUCGAACGGUCACUCGGACAGCCCUUCGGGAGGACCUUCGAAACUCGGACGGUCACACGGACAGCCCUUCGGGAGGCACUCACGAACUAA
rnacentral:rRNA from 1 species